CUCAGAGGGAGGACGGCACCCUGGUUCAGGUGGCUUCCCUGUGCCGACUUGCUUCUUGCAGGGAGCUCCACCUCUACGUGCCCACUGCCAGUGGACCCUGAGCCGGCACCAUGGAGAGAAGCCUGAGGAACGUCCUCGUGGUCUCCUUUGGAUUCCUCCUCCUCUUCACAGCCUACGGAGGUCUGCAGAACCUGCAGGUAGGUGUGGGCCUUGGAACAUGACCUUGACCUCUAAGCUUGUCCUGCCUCCAGAGCCACAGGCAACAGAUAGUGCAAGGCCAUUUCUUUUGUCAAUGCACCCUAGACUCUCUUCGCCCCGUGCCUCUGAAUUCUCCAGAACAGACUGUGUUUUCAUACAAAACCUGACAGCGUCAGUUCCUGCUUACAUUUCCACGGGCUGUACACUGUUUGACCCUUGGACAAGCAGAGCCAGUGUCUCAAGGGAGUGCUUUGAGAGGACGAUUUGCCUCUGGUGGUCAAAAGGAGACACAAGAAAAAUCCUGAAUUCCAUGGCUCCAUGCCCCUGGCUUUGUGAUCUGCGCAGAAAUACCAAUCUAUCAAACCUUGCUAGACCUCCUCGAUUCCAUGCUGUCUUUAAGCAAAAGUGUGAACUGGACAGAACAGUCUUCCUUCUGAACUACUGAUGGACUGCUUCCUCCUGAGUCAUACAAAACCCAGUGGUUUCCAGAAGGCUCUGGUGCUAAGUGAGUAAUGGUCAAUAGUUGUCUCAGGUGUAAAUGCCCCAUGAUUCCCAGUCAAAAGACAGAGCGAUUGUAAGAAUCAACAAAUACAACAAGAUGGGAAGGUCCAACAAUGUGCUGUCCAACAGACUCUGUGUAGCCUCAGGGCACACACAUGAAAGUGGUGAGACGGAAAAAGAUAUGCUAGGAAAAUGGCAGCCAUGAGCAGGACUGGCAUCUCGGCUUGUUUUCUGUUGCUGUAACAGAAUACCUGAGACUGAGUAAUUCACAGAGAAAAGAGGCUUGUUUGGGCUCAUGGUUUUGGAGGCUGGGAAGUCCAAGAGCAUGGAACUAGCACCUCCUCAACUCUCUGGUGGGGGUCCCAUGCUGCUUUCCAACCACAGAAGAAAGUGGAGAGCAGGGAGCCACACAUGAAAGGAAAGGGGAUGGUCCCUUCAGCAGAGCCCCUGUGCCAAGGGGAUGCUCUCCCCACACACGAACACCCGCUGGGCCACACAACGCCUCCCGCAGGCCCCUCCCACGUGGGGAGGUCACAGUGCUCCUGAACAACAGUGGGCCACAGCAAAACUCAGAGGGGACAGUUAAGAAUGUCUCCAGACAAUGACAACAGAGACCAUGCACCAAGACUUAGAGGAACAGCAAAGGAGGUCCCAAGGAAGACGCUCAGAGCAACAGAGUCGGACGCCCAAGAGAGGAGUCCAAAGAGCUCGCUACCCCCAGGGAGCAGAAGAGCCCCAAGCCAAGGCCAGAGGAGGGGAACGCGUGUCCUGGAGACGACGCUCUCGCUGUCCGAGGUGUAAAGGGUUUCUCCACUCUGCAGGCUCUGUUCACCUUCCUGGCUGCUCCCUGAGCUGUAAGGAGCUUUUUAGUUGACACCAUCCCAUUUACUGAUUCUUGGUUUUACUUCUUGCACUUUCGGAGUCUUGUUGAGGAAGUCAGUUCCUAAGCCAACCUGAUGGGGAGUUGGGCCUGCAUUUUCUUCUUGUAGGUGUAGGGUCUCUGUCUAAUUCCUAGGUCCUCAAUCCACUUUGAGUUGAGUUUGGGGCAGGGUAAGAGGUAGGGGUUCAGUUUCAUUCUGCUACGUAUGAAUUUCCGGUUUUCCCAGCACCUUGUUGAAGAGGCUGACCUCAUGUGUGGAGAUGACCUUGUCCUUUCCCAGGCCAUACGUGGUCCAAAGUCUCACAACGCUGGCAGGACAUGAGCACUUGAUCCUGGGGGCACACCCAGUCUCUGGAGUGUGCUCAGGGGUUAGGUAUUGAGAGCCAUCAUGGACUGUGUGUGGACCAAACCAGCACUGUAGCCAGUGCACAGAAGAAUCGGGUAUCUGGGAACUUCCAGCGGCAAUCCAGCUGGUCAGACUGCCCAGAUGCAUGUGACUCCUCUUUGGCUCUGCGAGGUCCCACACAGCACUGGAGAUGGGGUGCCUGCUGUAGCCACACAGCCUCUCAGAGAUGGGUGUACCCUGCCAAGAUGCCAAUCAACCUGCUGACUGCAAGACCACCCCUGAAACCGUAUCCCUGCCUUUGAUGCUCUCCCUUCAAUAAAGAAUAGGAGCCAUUUUUUAACUGUUCUAUUCCAGGUUCUACUAGGAAGCAUCUACCAGGCGCUCCCUUAAAAUACAAUUCAUUUCUUCACUAAUCACUUCAGACUUUAUUUUCUCAGGUGGCUUAUCCUUUCCCACAAUAUGAGGGAAGAUAUGGGGUGUGCCAACGUACUUUUUACUGUGCUGUUUUCAGUUUAUGAAGGCUUUGGGGGAUGGACCCCAUCAGUGGAGGAGAAUCCAUAAUAGCGUCUACAGUUGAUUUAAAUUUCUACUCACCUGGUUCCAAAUGUGUAUCUCAUUCCUCACCUCUAGAAGGGAAUCAUUAAAACUAAAAGCUGCCUUCUAGAUAAAUAACCUACCAUACACCUGUUUUAAGGGUGCUCACUGACCAGUGAAACUCAGGUGAGCAUCACGAUGCCAGCCAGGAAUGAUUAGGAAAACCUGCUCCAGCACAGAACCUGAGAGGCGCUUCCCCAAGACUAUAAAAAUCAUGGUGCUUAUUGUAUCAGGGUUCUCUAAGGAACGCAUCAGUAGGAAGUCUAUUUAUAAAAAGGGGAUUUAUUAUGUGACCAGAGGCUGGACAGUCCACAAUGGCCAUCUGCAGUCUGGACAGAAGCUGCGCAGUCCAAGAGGCUGAAGCCCCAGAACAAGCGGAAUCAACGGUGCUGCCCUAGUCUGGGACCGAAGGCUUCUGGGGAAUCCCGGGCAGAGCCGCUUUGGAAGAGUGAAGAGGCCAGAGUCCCGUGUCCUCAGACGAUGGCAGCAGCAAUCAAGAACCCAUUCAAGAAGAAUGGAGCUUGCUUCUGCUGAUGCCUCCUUGUUCUUCCAACUGCUCCUCCAUCCAAGCCAUCAUCCUAUUGGAUGGUGCUGCCCCCUCUUGGGAGGGUCUCCAUUUCAGGUGGCCGACCCACAUGCCCAUCAAAUUGGCCAUUCAAAUUGACCACUAUAGUUACAAAAAAAUUGUCUUUCACUUUUGCAGAGAACUUAACCCCGACCCUAAUGAUUUAAAAAUAUAUUUGCUAGAAUCCUACUUUUCCUUACAUGUUGAAGGGUCAAAAAUUUCAGAGUUAUGAUAGUUUAGCCAAAUAUGCAUAAGGAAGAAAAGCAAAGACAGAAUUCCACAUCAAGCAUUCCAUGUGUCGGUCCCAGGUUUAUGUUCCUGAAGGCAAAUCCCAAACCUCCAUGGUAAGGAAGGAUCUGAUCUGUGCAAUUAGGGGAGAUGAGGUUGAGAGGAUCAUGGGAAUGGGAAGAGGAGACGUGAGGAGAAACGUGACGGGGGUUCGGAGAUGCUGAGUGACACUGAGGUCCAGACAGGGCCAGCCACGUUAAGAAGCAAACAAAAUGAAAACAGGUCAGAACAGACCAUGAAGCAGGUCCUAGUCUGGACUUUCCCUUCUUCAGUUAGGCCUGUCGGUCAGCUGUCACUGUGACACAAUGCCUGAGAACAACUUUUUAAAAGGAGGAAAGAUUAGUUUGACUCCUGGUGUCAUAGGGCUCAGUCCACGGUCACUUGUUACGUUGCUUUGGGCUGAGGCAGAACAUGAUGGUGAAGGGCACAAGGUGAAGCUGAGCUUCUCCCCCACGGUGACCAGAAAGCAGGGGGGCAAGGGACACGCCCCAGUGACCUAUGUCUUCCAAAAGGGCCCCACCUCCCAAAGUGUCUGCCACUCCCACUAGCACCCAGCUGGGGACAAAGUCUUCAACACAGGAGCCCUUGGUGACAUUCCAGGCCGUGACACUAAGCUGUAAUUUUGGAAAUCAGUUUCUUUUGCCUGGUGGACACUUAGCACUGGAAGCUGGAAUUCACACUCAGAUCACAGAAAUGGGCAGCCAGCCCUCCCUUCAGCCCUCGUCAGGAGCGCCACACCGUCUCAGCUGCCCUGUGGAACACCCCGACUUUCUGGCUCAGUGGCGGGCCUGUUUUUGGUGGCUUACACCAGUUUCUACUUGAAUCUUUGCAAUAUUUACAUGGUAUCUAGGAAAGUACGAAGCUGUGCCAGUGUUUUAAAAGGCGCGAGUUACAUUUACCUUCCCCCGGCAGAAUGAUCACAUGUGGAAACAAUGCUGGAGGUCCUGUCUCCACUGGGGACAGCAUGUCCUGGCCACACUGCGGCCUGCAGGGCCGCUGAGCUGAGGCUUCCCUCUGAUUCCCCAGUGCUAUGCCAGUUCAACGUGGCCACUCGGCCCAGAGCCCUCCUGCUGGGAACAUGGUCGUGACCCACGGCACAGGAGGAGGAGAAGAGAGCUCAGGGGAAGCAUAGACUAGGUGGGAUCCCCAGAGAGGCCCAGCCCACUGCCAGGAAGGGCCCAGCCUGCUCAGCAGGAAGAUGGUCUCCCCCUCCUCCACGCAGCAGGAGACCUCCCAGGGACCCCCACUCAGGGAGGGUGUUGCUGAGUACACUCUUCCAUCCUGGUGCCGUAGCAGCCAGAAAACACCCCCAUGGGAUGCCCAAGGCGUGGUCCCCGGCCCUGUGGCCGUGUCCCCUUACACAGCAAAGGGACACUGCAGCAAUGGCUGAGGGCUGGAAAUGGGCAGAGAGUCCUGGAUCAUCCAGGUGGAGUCGGGAUCUUAUAAGAAAGAGGGAAGCGAGAAGGGACCUGGGGACAGAGUGGAG
rnacentral:lncRNA from 1 species